AAAAUUAGCACAAUAUUUUUAAUAAUAAUUGCAGUUUAAAUUAUAAUUAUUUUGAAAUAUAUAAUUCUCACAACUUCUAUUAAAUUAUAAAUUUUUUUUAAAAAAACAAACCGAUGUCUGCUACUCUAGCACGAUUCUGUCUGCCGUCUCUGGCACGGGUUCUUUGGUUUUAGGUUGUGUUUGUGUUUUUUUGGAUUUCUGAGGGGUUUUGAUCUCUUUUAUUUUAUCCCCUACGACGUUCACGAUUGUUUCUCUUUUCAAUUGGUUGGUAGAAGCGUUCCUUCAAUUCCUGCAACCAUGGAGACUGAAUUAGCACAGUUAUCAAUUAAUGAAGAAGAAGAAGAGAUCUUGCAGAUUCAGGAUGAUCUACAUCCAAAUACAGAUGUGGGCGAUUAUCAGCUUGUGGGAUGUUUUUUAACAGCAAGCAUCAUAAAUUUUUCGGCUAUGAAGAGUACCCUAGCAAAUUUAUGGCACCCCAUCUGUGGGGUACAGAUUCGUGAUUUGGGGGAAAAAAGGUACCUUUUUAAGUUCUUCCAUAGUAUGGAUAUGGAGAGAGUUCUAAAGGGUCUUCCUUGGACUUUUAACAAUCUACUAAUUUUGAGCAAUCUGAACAGAGGUGAAGAUCCGUUAAAAAUACCGUUAAUAUAUGUCCCGUUCUGGGUACAAAUCCAUGAUGUUCCAAUGGGUUUAUUCUCUAAAAGUUUAGCAAUGUUACUGGGGAAUUUUAUUGGAGUAUUUUUAGAGUAUGAUGCAUCAAAUCUGGGAAAGGAAAAUCGUAAUUUUAUGAGAGUUAGGGUGCAAAUUGAUGUCAGGAAGCCAUUAAGGAGAAAGAAGCAGGUUAUGUCUAAUGGUGUUUGCUCGUACGUUAAAUUCAAAUUCAAGUAUGAACGUUUAUCACUGUUUUGUUUUUUCUGUGGUCGUUUGGGUCAAAAUGAUUCUUAUUGUGAGGCAAAAAUGAUGUUUGGAUCAGAUCCCAUGGAGUUGGGUUGGGAUUUAUCUCUGCGGGCUCCAUCACGUAGAGCUUUGUCUACAGAAAGUAUUUGGCUACGUGAAGAGGAUGAGGGGGUUAGGGAAGGUUGUUGGAUGGAGAACAGGUUGGGGGAGAAGGGUUCAAGGAAUGGGAUUCCAAGAGUCAGUGAGAUGAAAACCAUGGAUCCAAUAUUGGGUUUCAGUUUAGAAGGGAAAGGAACAAUUUUGGAGAAACCAUGGUCAUAUAAGAAGCACACAUUAAUAGAUCAUGAUCUAGAGGAUGAAGUUGUAAUGGGGGAAGAGGGGAAGAAGCAGAAUAGGGGUGAAAUGGAAGGACAGAUACUUUUAUCAUUGGCAACUAACCUCCGACCGGUCGCAAUGAAAAUAUUAUGCUGGAACGUCCGAGGAUUGGGGAGUCAUUGGACAGUUCGAAGACUUCAGUAUGUACUGAAGUUAAAAAAUCCCCAAAUUGUCUUCUUCAUGGAGACAAAAUUUAACAAAAAGCAGAUGGAAGUAGUUCGCAGGAGAUGUGGGUUUCAUAAUGGCAUUGAAGUCGAUUCUGAAGGUACAAGGGGUGGGUUAUGUUUGGCAUGGAGAACAGAUAUUGAUGUUGGUUUUCGCAGUUUCUCUAAAAGACAUAUCAAUGUGUUAGUCGAUGAUAAUGAGAAAGGUGUGAAAUGGAGAUUCACAGGGUUCUAUGGUUCCCCAUAUGUUCAGGAUAGGAAUGUGCCAUGGGAUACUUUGAAAAGAUUGGCCACAGGAGUGGAAAUUCCAUGGUUGGUUUGUGGAGACUUUAAUGAAAUUAUGUAUGGUUUCGAAAAGAAAUGAGGGAUUCCCAAAUAUGAGAGAAGAAUGGAGUGUUUUCGAAAAACACUUGAUGAUUGUCAAUUGAACGAUGUGGGUUUCGAUGGUAGUUGGUUUACUUGGGAAAGAGGUAAUUUACCUGAGACAAAUAUACGAGAACGCCUUGAUAGAGGAGUUGCGAAUAUGGGUUGGAUUACAAUGUUUCCAGAUGUGAAGGUUCAACAUCUUUCCCAUUCAUUUUCAGAUCACUGUCCCCUUCUCAUUGAUACUACAGAAAAAAGGAGUAAAGGUAGAGAAUAAUGAUUUUAAAUUUGAAACCUGGUGGUUAUUGGAGGAAUCUUUUAUUGAGGUGGUUAAAGGCAUAUGGGAUAGUUCGACAGGAGACUUGCUGCAGAGAUUGGAGAUUUUGAAUACGGGAUUAAAGGGGUGGGUAGGAGAGGUGGAAAUGAGUAGAAAGAAAUCUAAACAGAAGCUUCACAAAAAACUUGAGGAACUGGCUAGAGCGGAGAGGGAUGAAAAUAGUUUAGCAGAGCUAAUUGACACUAGACUAAACUUAAAUUUUGAGAUUGAAAAAGACGAAUGCUACUGGAAACAAAGAGCUAGAAUUAAUUGGUUGACAUUUGGAGACAAAAACAUAAAAUUCUUUCAUAGUCAAGCUACACAAAGGAAGAGAAAAAAUUUUAUUAACAGAUUGAUGAAUGAAGAAGGAAGAGAGCUGAAGAUUUUACAGGAAAUUGAAGAAAAUGCGAGAUUUUAUUUCCAGAAAAUGUUCACAACUGAACGAAGAAGGAAUAACAAUCGGAUUUUGGCAGGUAUUGAGAGAUGCAUUCAUGAGGAGGACAACCAGAUCCUUACAGCUCCAUAUACUAGGGAGGAAAUCACGAAAGCGGUUUUUGAUAUGGGGCCAACGAAGGCACCAGGGGAAAAUGGUCUUCCAGCAGUUUUUUACCAAAAGUGUUGGCAGAUCGUGGGAGAAGAUGUCAUUGCUUACUGCUCUCGAAUUUUGAAUGGACAUAUGGAGGUUAGUUCAAUAAAUUCCAUAAAUAUUGUUCUUAUACCCAAAGUUAAUAAUCCCCUAAUAAUGACGCAAUUCAGGCCGAUUAGUCUCUGUAAUGUUAUUUACAAAUUUAUUGCUAAGGUGAUAGCUAGUAUGCUUAGAAAGGUGAUCAGGAAAUGUAUUGAUGAAACCCAGAGUGCUUUUGUUCCUGGUCGAUUAAUCUCUAAUAAUGUGAUACUAGCAUAUGAAGUAAUGAAUAAGUUAAAACAGAAGAGGCUGGGAAAAAAGGGUUCAUGGCCGUAAAACUUGAUAUGAGUAAGGCUUAUGACAGGGAGGAGUGAAGUUUUAUUGAAGAAAUUAUGAUAAGAAUGCGAUUUGAUUCGGAAUGGGUGAAGGCCAUUAUGAAUUGUGUUUCUACCGUUUCCUACUCGGUUGUUAUUAAUGGACAUAAAGGGGAUACAUUUUCACCUAAUAGAGGUUUGAGACAAGGCAAUCCACUUAGUCCAUUUUUAUUUCUCUUUUGUGGCGAAGGUUUAUCGAGCUUAUUGAGGCAGGCAAUAAAAAGAGGCUCGUUCAAUGGCGUAAAGGUUAGUAGAAGUGGGCUGCAAAUCUCCCAUCUUUUAUUCACAGAUGAUUGUGUUUUGUUUGGUGAAGCAACAAGCAGGGGUGCAAGUAUCUUCAAGGGCAUUUUGGAUGAAUAUAAAUCUCAAUCAGGACAGUGUGUAAAUUUUGAAAAAACAUCUGUUUUCUUUAGCAAAAAUACUUCCGAAGAGGAUAAAAGACAAGUUGUUAACUCGCUGGGGGUCCGAAGGUCGAAUGAACUAGAGAGAUAUCCGGGAUUGCCUAAUAUGGUGGGUCGAAGAAAGAGGGAAGCUUUCUAAAAUAUGAAGGAUAGGUUCAAAAAAAGCAUCGAUAAUUGAAGCACUAGAUUUCUUUCACAGGGAGGCAAAGAAGUUUUUAUUAAAGCCAUUUUACAGGCUAUACCUACCUAUUCGAUGGCAUGCUUCUUAUUUCCCAGAACACUUUGUGAUGAACUGGAACAUAUUGUUGCCAAAUUUUGGUGGCAGAAAGGGAAGGGAAAAAGAGGAAUCCAUUGGUGCACUUGGAAGAAACUUUGUUUUUUGAAAGAAAAUGGGGGAAUUGGGUUUCACAAUUUCGGUCAGUUCAAUAUUGCAUUAUUAGCAAAACAAGGUUGGCGUCUCAUUAAUUUUCCAAAUUCGCUUUUAGCUAGAACUUUAAAAGCAAAGUCUUAUCCGGAUUCUUGUUUCUUAACAGCGAAGCUUGGAAAUUUACCUUCUUUUACCUGGAAGAGUAUCUGGGCUGCUAAAGGUUUGCUCCAAAAAGGGAUGUGCUGGAGAGUGGGUAGAGGAGAUAGCAUCUCUGUUUGGGACGAUUGUUGGAUUCAGGGGGUUGACAAAAUUGACAUAAACAACAGAACAACCAGGAGGGAAAUUAAGUUAGUUGCGGAUCUUCUUGAUCAUUCAAACAGAAAAUGAAACUUGGAGUUAAUUCAGAAUACCUUUCCUGAGGACAUAGUUCGGAAAAUCCUUCAAAUUCCCUUUACAGAGACUGCGCAUGAUGAUUUUCAAGCUUGGAAAGGGGAGUUAUCUGGUAAGUUCUCUGUUCGCAGUGCCUAUAAACUAUUACAAAAUGCAAAUAUGGAUCCUAGUGACUAUUUAUUACAAACCGAAACAAAGGAUUUUUACAAAGAACUAUGGAGCCUUCAGCUACCAUCUAAAAUUGCGUUUACAGUCUGGCGGAUCUCUUGGGACUUUAUUCAAAGCUUUGUGAACCUCAAAAUAAGGAGAGGUAUCAAACGACAGAUGUCCCCGGUGUAGCUCUGAGGUAAAAAGCAGUCUCCACGUCUUUCGAGAUUACCCUACGACAGCAGAGGUAUGGCAUUUGUUAAAUUUCGCAUGGGUUAUGAACAAUAGGAGCCAUACUAUGUGGAGUAGUUAACCUGGGUCUUCAAGAGGGGAAACAAUGACCAAUGCUUUUCCUUUUUCUAUGCGCUAUGGUGGAUAUGGUUUUCUAGAAAUCAAAUUAUUCAUGAGAGAAAUAUCAUUCUAGGAAGGGCUUUAAUACUUAACAUUCAAAGAUAUGUGUCAGAACAGAAAGGAUUAAAUGGUUUAAAAACUAAGGCGACCACAUGCAGAAGCUAUAGAGUACAAGAGCUACACCGACAGCCAAGAUCCAUUUUGAUGCAGCAUACAACAGUAAUACUUCCAGUUCAGCGUCCGGCCUUGUAGGUUGGGACACGAGGGGAGUCUUGAUAGCAUUAAAAACAGUUAUUCAUAGAAAUGUUCCUUCUCCUUUCGCAGCAGAGGCUCAUGCAUGUUUAGAAGGAGUAAAGUUAGGGAUUUCAUUACGAAUCCAUUCAGUAAAACUUAUGGGGGAUUCAAAAACUGUUAUAAAGAAAUGUCAAGAGACUUCUAUAGACAAAUCAGUUAUUGGAGCCAUCAUCAGAGAUAUUCAACAAAAGAAAUCCGACUUUCAAGAUGUUAUUUUCCAGUAUAUUCACAGGUCGGAAAACUUAGAUGCUCACAGAAUAGCAAAGAUUGCAUUUGAGAAAGGAGAGACGUUUUACCUGAGGGGUGAGGAACUGGAUAGUCAGAAUCUGGCUUUGGUAGGAUAUCGGCCAAGAAAUCCAGAUUGAGGAACUGCUUCAGAGGAAAUGUGACAGAAACAGAUAGCAAAAUGAAGAAUGAAUGCUUAGGACCGCUAUUAAUUAAAUGUUAGGAGCUUUGGAAAUUACAAAUCGUCAAACGUUAUUGGUUGCCAACUGCUCAUUGAUUUGACUAGGUUAGGUUUUAAUAAGCUUUAUUUCCUUUUAUUGAUUUGAUGUUUCCUUUUGCAAGACAGAAGUCUGAUAGUUUUUAAGUUUUUUCAUUGUUGUUUUUUCUGGUUUCUUUGUUUGGGCCAUUGUUUGGGCCGUCUGUUUUUAGUUUAUUUUUUAAUAAAAUCCCAGUCUUUGCUUCAAAAAAUAAUAAUUAUUAUUUUUAAAUUUAUAAAGAGUAUUUAUAUGUAAAAAAUAUUUUUUAUUUAAUUAAAAAACUUGAAUUCUUAUUAUUUUAAAUUCAUCCAAUUAUAUUCAAUGAUUUUAUA
rnacentral:lncRNA from 1 species